rnacentral:rRNA from 1 species
AGGAUGAACGCUAGCGGCAGGCUUAACACAUGCAAGUCGAGGGGCAACGCGAGUAGCAAUACUUGGCGGCGACCGGCGCAAGGGUGCGUAACGCGUGAGCAACAUGCCCGUAUCAGGGGGAUAAUCCAGGGAAACUUGGUCUAAUACCCAUAGUAAUUUUUGUAAGGCAUCUUAUAAGAUUUAAAGCUUUGGUGGAUACGGAUUGGCUCGCGUGACAUUAGCUGGAUGGUAAGGUAACGGCUUACCAUGGCUAUGAUGUCUAGGGGUUCUGAGAGGAAGGUCCCCCACACUGGAACUGAGACACGGUCCAGACUCCUACGGGAGGCAGCAGUGAGGAAUAUUGGACAAUGGAUGGAAAUCUGAUCCAGCCAUGCCGCGUGAAAGGAAGAAGGUCCUAUGGAUUGUAAACUUCUUUUGUAUGGGAGCAAUAAGGCCUACGAGUAGGUUGAUGAGAGUACCAUACGAAUAAGCACCGGCUAACUCCGUGCCAGCCGCCGC